GGAACACUGGGGCUGCCCCGCUCCUGCCCCACCCCAUCAGCUCUGCCAGCGCCUCAAGGGGACACAAAGGUUGAGCCAAAGGGAGGGUGUGAAAACAGGAGCAUUGUUUGGUGUGGUCUCCUCUCUGCCUUUCACACCUUUCAGUGCUUUGACCCAGCCAAGAGCUUUCUCCAAGAGUGCAAUGAAGCAGCUGUUCCUGCUCCCAGAGCCACAGAGAGCUGGAAUUAUCCCAUUUCUCAUGUCUCCAUUGUGCCAUAUUCCUAAAGAACCAGCAGCCCAUCCCGACGAAUAUGGUGAGUUAUGUGGAUGGUUGUCAGCUCCCUUUCCUGCCUAGAAAUCCUGGAACUGCCUCUAAAUGCUGUUCC